CCUACGGGUGGCAGCAGUGGGGGAUCUUGCACAAUGGGGGCAACCCUGAUGCAGCGACGCCGCGUGAGCGAUGGAGUACUUCGGUAUGUAAAACUCUGUCAGCAGAGAAGAGCAUGACGUUACCUGACCAAGAAGCCCCGGCUAAAUACGUGCCAGGAGCCGCGGUAAUACGGCUGGGGCGAGCGUUAUGCGGGUUUAAUGGGGGUAAAGGGAGCGGAGGGGGGAGGGCAAGCCUGGUGUGAAAGCCCGGGGCUCAACCCCGGGACUGCAUUGGGAACUGCCCCGCUGGAGUGCCGGAGGGGCAGGCGGAAUUCCUAGUGUAGCGGUGAAAUGCGUAGAUAUUAGGAGGAACACCAGUGGCGAAGGCGGCCUGCUGGACGGUGUACUGACGCUGAGGCUCGAAAGCGUGGGGAGCAAACAGGAUUAGAUACCCCUGUAGUC
rnacentral:rRNA from 1 species